GUGGGGAAUAUUGGACAAUGGGCGCAAGCCUGAUCUAGCCAUGCCGCGUGAGUGAUGAAGGCCUUAGGGUUGUAAAGCUCUUUCAGUAGGGAAGAUAAUGACGGUACCUACAGAAGAAGCCCCGGCUAACUUCGUGCCAGCAGCCGCGGUAAUACGAAGGGGGCUAGCGUUGUUCGGAAUUACUGGGCGUAAAGCGCACGUAGGCGGGUAUUUAAGUCAGGGGUGAAAUCCCGGAGCUCAACUCCGGAACUGCCUUUGAUACUGGGUACCUAGAGUAUGGAAGAGGUAAGUGGAAUUCCGAGUGUAGAGGUGAAAUUCGUAGAUAUUCGGAGGAACACCAGUGGCGAAGGCGGCUUACUGGUCCAUUACUGACGCUGAGGUGCGAAAGCGUGGGGAGCAAACAGGAUUAGAUACCCUAGUAGUCC
rnacentral:rRNA from 1 species